UACGUAGGCAGCGAGCGUUGUUCGGAAUUACUGGGCGUAAAGAGUGUGUAGGCGGUGCUCUAAGUUCGGUGUGAAAUCUCCUGCUUAACUGGGAGGGUGCGCCGAAAACUGGAGUGCUCGAGCGUGGGAGAGGAAAGCGGAAUUCCUGGUGUAGCGGUGAAAUGCGUAGAUAUCAGGAGGAAGACCAGUGGCGAAGGCGGGUCUCUGGACAGUUCCUGACACUGAGACACGAAGGCCAGGGGAGCAAACGGG
rnacentral:rRNA from 1 species